rnacentral:rRNA from 1 species
AGAGUUUGAUCAUGGCUCAGAUUGAACGCUGGCGGCAUGCCUUACACAUGCAAGUCGGACGGUAACGGGCCUUCGGGUGCCGACGAGUGGCGAACGGGUGAGUAAUAUAUCGGAACGUGCCCAAUCGUGGGGGAUAGCCCGGCGAAAGCCGGAUUAAUACCGCAUACGACCUGAGGGUGAAAGCGGGGGAUCUUCGGACCUCGCGCGAUUGGAUCGGCCGAUAUCAGAUUAGGUAGUUGGUGGGGUAAAGGCUUACCAAGCCUACGAUCUGUAGCUGGUCUGAGAGGACGACCAGCCACACUGGGACUGAGACACGGCCCAGACUCCUACGGGAGGCAGCAGUGGGGAAUUUUGGACAAUGGGCGCAAGCCUGAUCCAGCCAUGCCGCGUGCAGGAAGAAGGCCUUCGGGUUGUAAACUGCUUUUGUCAGAGAAGAAAUCUUCUGGGUUAAUACCCUGGGAGGAUGACGGUAUCUGAAGAAUAAGCACCGGCUAACUACGUGCCAGCAGCCGCGGUAAUACGUAGGGUGCGAGCGUUAAUCGGAAUUACUGGGCGUAAAGCGUGCGCAGGCGGCUUUGCAAGACAGAUGUGAAAUCCCCGGGCUUAACCUGGGAACUGCAUUUGUGACUGCAAGGCUAGAGUACGGCAGAGGGGGAUGGAAUUCCGCGUGUAGCAGUGAAAUGCGUAGAUAUGCGGAGGAACACCGAUGGCGAAGGCAGUCCCCUGGGCCUGUACUGACGCUCAUGCACGAAAGCGUGGGGAGCAAACAGGAUUAGAUACCCCGGUAGU